UGUCACUAAGCGAUGUGGUCAUUAAGUUCACAAACCUCCAGAGACCUGCUCAGAGACUGUCAAUGGGGUUUUGGAAUCCAGAGUAAGAAUCCCUACUACAGGUGUGAUGCACUUAAAAAUCAGGUGGAGUGUUGAUCACACCAUUGUGGUUGCCAUUUUGGCCAUACUUUCCAGACACCACUGGUGCUCCUUUGUAGCAAAACCAAGCCUUCAAAAUGUGGAUUCAGAAUAAAUGUAAAUGAUUAUCAACUAAUGUACAGUACACAUCCUAUAGCCUCUUUCUCACCUGCUGAUGUCCCUGUUCCUUGUUGGCACACAUUAAUAAUAGUCAGUUCACAACCCCAGCAUAGCUGCUUCAGCAACGUGUUAUCUUUUAAAUAAAUGGGGCAGUAUUUUUAUUAGGCCUUUCAAACUGUCACAAAAGAGCGAGAAAAAUUUCAAGAUCUCCAGAAUUCCUCAUCAGGAGGUGACUGUGACUAAAUGAGACUUUAGGCUGCAUUCUCAAAUUAUUAUUUUUUUCCUUCCCUUCUUUGUCCUCUAUCUGCUUAGCGCCUAGCCUGCUAAGAAUCUGGGGGAUAGCAUUUAUUCCCACCUUACUCAAAA